CCUACGGGAGGCUGCAGUGAGGAAUAUUGGUCAAUGGGCGCGAGUCUGAACCAGCCAAGUCGCGUGAAGGAUGACUGCCCUACGGGUUGUAAACUUCUUUUAUAAAGGAGUAAAGUGAGUCACGUGUGCCGCUUUGUGUGUACUUUAUGAAAAAGGAUCGGCUAACUCCGUGCCAGCAGCCGCGGUAAUACGGAGGAUCCGAGCGUUAUCCGGAUUUAUUGGGUUUAAAGGGAGCGUAGAUGGGUGGUUAAGUCAGUUGUGAAAGUCUGCGGCUCAACCGUAGAAUUGCGUUUGAUACUGGCAGCCUUGAGUGAAGGUGAGGCAGGCGGAAUUCGGGGUGUAGCGGUGAAAUGCUUAGAUAUCCGGAAGAACUCCGAUUGCGAAGGCAGCUUGCUGAACUGCAACUGACGUUGAGGCGCGAAAGCGUGGGGAGCAAACAGGAUUAGAUACCCGGGUAGUC
rnacentral:rRNA from 1 species